CGUGAGGACAAAGCUGGGAGCGAAGGAACAGAACACAGUGGCUGUUGUGUACGAGGGGAGCCCUGGCACAAACACAGGCUUUUCUGUAAGACUAUCCCACUGCUCCUAGCCCUCUGCCUGGGCCCUCAAUACAGCCUUUGUCCUCUCACAUCACCAAUGACAUUGAGAAUCGGCACCCAGCAACACCUGGCCCCUCGCAGCAGAGGCACCAGCAGUAGCACUGUCUCUCCCAGCAGCCACAUGCAGCUCAUGAGUUAGGGUAUAGAGAGGAGGAGAGGAAGGGGGAGGAGGAGGACACUGUGGCUCUGUGCAACUCGUCUGGCCUUUCCACUUCUCCUCUUAUUUUCUUCACUUUUAUUCGCUACUCCUCUACUCUUCCCCUCUCAUCUUCUCUCAACAAAAUGUCACCUAUAUUCAUUGGUUCCCCUAAGAGUGUGGACAAUGCCCUUCACUCAACAGUCAUAAAACCCUAUGAGCGUCAGUGGAGCUGUGGUCGUUCUGCAUGACUGGAGGAAGGAGGGAGGAUGAAAAGGCCAGGAGAUUUUGGCCGGCCCCAGAAUGUUUUGGGUGCAAAGAGGAGACGCGAGUCAAAAACCACAGUGAGAGUGGCCUGAUUAAAGACUGAUCCCAGUUCAUCUCCAGGACAUCCGUACUCUAAAGCCUCUACAGACACACCCUUCACCUCACUGUUUACAUGCACUCCUUCCUGUCUCGCGCUGCCAAAUACUGUAGGACUUACUCAUAGCAUUAUGUGGUUAACCAAGGCCAUGAGUUUGCCUUCACUUUGUUAAGGGCCUUUGAGGAGACUCUGUGCCACUGUGUGUGAUCGAUGGGAGAUUUGUUUAUUUCUAUCAAAAACAUUUGUAAGUUGGAAGGACAUUGACUAAAGACAGCAAAGUAAACUACAAAUAAUUCAAUAAACAUUUUAGAAAGCAGAGAUCUUCAGUGUUGUUGCUUUUGUCUAUCCAUCCUCUCUGUGAAAGAAGAGAAAAAUGAGGCUUUGCCAUUUCCAGUGAGUUUAUUUCAGUAGAAGUGGUUUUAAAAACACUUCACACUGUACCUCAAACAUCUCACGUCCUUGAGACCCCCAUAAGCAAGAUCAACAUUUUCAAAUAUGGCGGUGUCCAACAUUAUAUUCUGUGCAAAAACUUUAAGCAUACUAUUUUACAGAAGAAAACAAACAAAAAAGUCUACAUUGGGAGGGGGUAGGGGUUGAAACGGUCACACAAUAAUCAAGAAUUAUAUUUUGCACAAUUGUCAAAAGUUGGGACUACAUGAGAUAAAAUCCAUCAGGUGGCUUUAGAUAUGUGCCUUGUUUAAACAGCCAAUGCAGACAGGAGUAGUGACCUGUAUAGAAAAACAACAAACAACUUCUACUGCGCUCUCUUCAGCACAGAUCAUUCUCUUUAGCAUUGUGUAAGGGUAUUGUGAGUGUGUGUGUGCACUUGUGUCGUCAUAAAUACAGUACAUACAUACAAACUCAACGUGUUUUCUAAUAAGGCAUAUGUGGCAAAUCGAAGUCCACCGAAAAGAAACAGUAUCAACACUAUUUAAGGCCUGGAAAGCAGAAAAGGGGGAGAUAGAAUCACAAGUACCUUACGGAGAAGAACGUCAAAACAAUGGAGUGAAAGCAGCCUUACAGUGACCGGGAAGGAAGAGUGGGAUGGGGGGGGGGGGGCUGCUGUGACAUCACCCCCACAGUGGGCCAGGGGAAUGGAGGUGGGAACGUGG
rnacentral:lncRNA from 13 species